rnacentral:rRNA from 1 species
CCUACGGGGCGCAGCAGUGGGGAAUAUUGGACAAUGGGCGAAAGCCUGAUCCAGCCAUGCCGCGUGUGUGAAGAAGGCCUUCGGGUUGUAAAGCACUUUCAGUGGGGAAGAAAGCCUUGGGGCUAAUACCCUCGAGGAAGGACAUCACCCACAGAAGAAGCACCGGCUAACUCCGUGCCAGCAGCCGCGGUAAUACGGAGGGUGCGAGCGUUAAUCGGAAUUACUGGGCGUAAAGCGCGCGUAGGCGGUCUGAUAAGCCGGUUGUGAAAGCCCCGGGCUCAACCUGGGAACGGCAUCCGGAACUGUCAGGCUAGAGUGCAGGAGAGGAAGGUAGAAUUCCCGGUGUAGCGGUGAAAUGCGUAGAGAUCGGGAGGAAUACCAGUGGCGAAGGCGGCCUUCUGGACUGACACUGACGCUGAGGUGCGAAAGCGUGGGUAGCAAACAGGAUUAGAUACCCUAGUAUC